rnacentral:lncRNA from 1 species
CAGUGAACUGGCCCCCUGGGUAAAAAGUUUGGGGACCCCUGCCACACAGUAUAGAUUCUAAGGCAGAAGGAUGAAGAAGUGGCUAAAAUGGUUCUCCUGACUUUUGGGGGUGUAUGCUUCCUUGAAUAGAAAGGCAGAAAAAUCUUGUGAGUAUUGAAAGUUCAAAAGAGU